AUGACGGGUGGGCCGGUGCUGCCCUUGGCCCCGCACGCCGGCUGCACGCGUCUUUCCAGGGUCGUCGCGUCGUCGUUCCUCGUCAAUACAGCCGCCGCGCCGCCGCGCCACCUCCCUUCUCCGGUCCUCCCUUCCCCCUCCCCCUGCAGCAGCUCUGCCGCCUCUUUCGAUGAGAUCCACCGUCUCCCGAGGUCCUUAUCCACCCCAGCUCGCGAGGAAGCCACGAAAGGAGGAGCUCAACCGGGCAUCGCCGGCCGGAGAAGGAGGAGAGGCGCGGAUGCCAGGCAGGGAGGCAGAUCGGCUCGCCUCCGCGGCAGCCAGGGAGGCGGAUCGGCUCGCCUCCGCGGCGUCUUGUGCGCCGCCGCCGCCUCUACAUCCACCUUUCUCCGCAUAGCAGCAUGUGUGCGGAAGCGGGGACAUGCGACCGCGAGCAGAUGGCGUCGGCGGCAACGGCAACACGCAUGGUGUGCAAAGUCCGAUAAGAUGGGCGUGGCCUCCCCGCAUGCGUUUCAGGAUGGCGUGCUCGACGGCUCGGAACGCGCCCGCACGGGCACAAGAGGUAUGCAUAGGAGCACGCCGACGGCAACGUGCACCGCGAGGUCGGCCAGAGCCCCUCCGUACUGGAGGAAACCUGCGACUCACCUCCACGCACAGGUCUAUGCCGAUUUCCACAAUAACACUGCCUCCAACUUUCUCAUUUCCCUAGCUCUGCAUACAAGGUCCAAGCUAGGUAUGCCAAUCUUGUUAUAG
rnacentral:rRNA from 1 species